GCACUGCUGAGGAGUCCCAUACGAAGACGAAACGGCCGUCCAGUGC
rnacentral:hammerhead_ribozyme from 1 species